GAGUUUGACCAGACUGCAGGAGGACAGGAAGACUGGAGUGCCUGGAACAGGAUCCACUCCAUCUGCAUACUGUGUAAUAAACAAUGCAAUCCCACUUGUAUACCACAAACCAUUGUUGCUGUUUGCCUUGGACAGAAUUCUGCAAGCUAACACUCCCUGUCAAGAACCGGACUAUAGAAAGCUGUCGUCUCCCAUUAUUCAGCAUCAUAUGCAAGCGAAACCUGAUUUUAAUGCAACUGCAUCUGGAUUUGUACCCAUAGUACAGUUUCUCUCCCAUGAGAAAAAUUAUAUCCCUUUUUAGCCACCUAAAAUGGCUAUACUGUACCAACAAAUAUACUUGUAGAUUUAUGCUAAACUUGUCAAAAAGAAUUAUUUACUGAUACAUGCCUUCUAGAAAACAAUGCUCAUAAAAGAUGAGCAUACUUUUAAAUCAAUAUUUUAUUGUAUGUAUUAUGUAAUUAUAUUUUAAAACCUAACUAAUAAACAAUGCACCAUUUUUAUUGA